rnacentral:rRNA from 1 species
UACGUAGGGUGCAAGCGUUGUCCGGAUUUAUUGGGCGUAAAGAGCUCGUAGGCGGUUUGUCGCGUCGGAUGUGAAAACCCAGGGCUCAACCCCGGGCCUGCAGCCGAUACGGGCAGGCUAGAGUUCGGCAGGGGAGACUGGAAUUCCUGGUGUAGCGGUGAAAUGCGCAGAUAUCAGGAGGAACACCGGUGGCGAAGGCGGGUCUCUGGGCCGAUACUGACGCUGAGGAGCGAAAGCGUGGGGAGCGAACAGG